UUCAGCAUGGCUUAGUCAGCUAGGGCUCUUCAGGCCUGUGGGUCCACGGCUCAGAUGAACCACCUGGAUACGUUCCCGUGUGGAGCAUCCCCACCGGCUGAAAUGUGAUGAGUUACUGUUGCUACACAGGUGGCGACAGUCAGUUCCCACUUGUUCGUGCUGCUGAUGGGAACUGGGGCCUGUACAGGAACCACGGCUCCCACGUGUCUCUCAUUCCAGGACACUCUGGUCUCACCGAGCGAGGCUUCAGAGUUCUCGCGGUAUCUCGCUUUAAGGUGACUAGCCGCCUUAGUUCAGAACGGUGCCGUCCUGCGCAUUUGCAGAUGCUUCGUUUCACCCAAGAGCCUGCAAUGGUGACCUGGCCUCUUCUGACUCAGGUCCUGUCAGGGUACAAGGUCCAGGCUGGCCUAUAUUCCCCCUUGUUCCAGAGGGCUGUGAGGAACCCGGACGCACAGUUCACUCUCCCGCACCUGACCCAGCAGCCAGGACCUUCAGCAAGCAGGCCUCCCGGGUACCUCUUAUCGGAGGAGAGCUCCGCCCCACCCAGCUGUGCCAAGAUUUUCAAGUUUCCCCUGGAUCUGCCAGGGGAAACUUUUGGGAGGAAUAGACUGCACUGGUUAGGUUCCAGCUUGGAAUUAGACGCCCAGGUUCCCCAAGAGCCCGUGUCAGUGAUCCUGCCUCUCACCACCUUUGAACUCUUCCAGAUGCCUGGCUACGUUGAACGCGCAGCGCAUAGCAUGUGCAUGCGCAGUACGAGCCCACUCAGGAGGCCUUGGGCAGCUGGGGCCCUCCAGGCUUAUGGGGCCAUGGACGGACCUCACCAUCGGGAUGUUCUCCUGGGUGGAGGAGAACCCUCUGCAGUACUCUCUGGUUCUGCGGCUGCAGAGGCAUACCUGCGUGGCGUGGCGUGCCCCCUCUUCUUGGGAACUAAGUUUAGGAGCAGCAGAUACCUGUUCGCCUUUACUCCUUGAGUGCAGCCCCUUGAGGUUCCUCCCGUAAGAUAAGGCGUUUUCGUGCCUCUUGGCUGCCAGGCCAAAAGCCUGGGGAUUGUCAGAAGUGACGCUUGGUCCCUCAUCCUCUCAGUUCUGCCUCCUGGAAUUGACAACUAACCUGGGGUGAAGCAAACCCAAAUGCGUGGCUACUUCUCUGAUCUUUAUCUUCCCCUGGAUCCUACCUGAGAUGAUGCAAGUAACUAGCUGAGUAACUGCCUGAAUGAGUCAGAAUAUUGAACGCACGCCCUCAGGAAUUGGAUGAAGCCCACCUGCAUUUGUGAGGAUGGAUCUUCUUUACUCAGUCUGCUGAUUCAAAUGCUAAUCUCUCCUGGAGACACCCUCACAGACACACCCAAAAAUAAUAUUUUACCAGCUAUCUGGGCAUCCCUUAGCCUAGUCAAGUUGACACAUAAAAUUAACCAAUACAGCCAAUGACUGGAAAAUGUUAGUUACUGGCAUCAUAACUUCUUCUUGAGAGAUUGAUCUUAUCAGUGGAAAAAUUCUACAAAUUGCAAAAGAGGACUACACAAGCAAGCCUAACCCAGAGCUGAAAUCUCAGACUUUGGUGUAUGUAAUUCCACGUAAGCAUAGACGGGGAAAGAGAUGAUGUUUCCUGUGCACUCCCAGUUCAGGGCAUUGCUUCUAGUUCCAUUCUUUCCCCAGUGGAAAUUCCAGGACAGUGGGAGCAGGACAUGAUGCAAGCAGGAAGUUAUGAAAAAAGUAACUUGAUGAUUUAGUGGGAUUUUCAGAUCAACUGGCAGAUCCAGAUAUGAAAAAUGGAAAUCCAGACCAUAAAAGACAUGACUUUUCAUAAUUCACCUUGGUUUCUCAUUCUAGUUCCAAAAAUGGGAGUGAACUUGCAGAUCCCAGGUUUUUACUACCAGGUAUUAGCCAGCUGAUAUUUUCUGUAGUGUCAGACCAAUGGGCUAAAUAUUUCAUUCAAGUCAAUUUUGCUGUGUGCAUGUCAGUCAGUCUUUUUUAAGAAUUAAUACAAACUGCACAGUGCAAAGAAAAAAAUGCCUUUAGGUGAAUUUGGCAGGAAAUAAUAUAGUUGAAAAGUAAACCAGAAGAUUCAUUUAGUCAAUUAAUAACACAUGUUUAUAAUGCAUUUACUCUCUACUGUUCUAGAAGACCAGAAUACUGAACAACAGUGAACAAGACUGGUUUCCUUUGAUGAAGUUACGACAUAGAGGAGGGAGAUAAAUAAUAAAGUAAGCAAAUAAUUACAGGAAAAUGUCUAAUAAUGAUACAUACUAUGAAAACAACUCCUUUCUAAUAUGCAGUAGAGUAGAGAGUAGUGAGGGAACAAGAAUGGGCAGUUUGGGAAAGGCCUCUCUGAAGAGGCUACCUUUGAACUGAAACCUGAAGGAUGGAAAAGUACCAGCCAGCCAAAGAUUCAGAGAAAGAACAUUCCAGCCAGAAGGAAUGUGUGUGCAAAGGUCCUAAAUGGGAAUAAACUCAGCAUUUUUAGGGAACACACACAGAAAAAGGGCAGCAACUGGAGAACAAAGAUGAAGAUGGAGAGCUCUGAAAUGAGAUAACGUGUUCCUUAAGAGCAGGG
rnacentral:lncRNA from 1 species